UACGAAGGGGGCUAGCGUUGCUCGGAAUUACUGGGCGUAAAGGGAGCGUAGGCGGAUAGUUUAGUCAGAGGUGAAAGCCCAGGGCUCAACCUUGGAAUUGCCUUUGAUACUGGCUAUCUUGAGUACGGAAGAGGUAUGUGGAACUCCGAGUGUAGAGGUGAAAUUCGUAGAUAUUCGGAAGAACACCAGUGGCGAAGGCGGCUCACUGGCCCGGUACUGACGCUGAGGCGCGAAAGCGUGGGGAGCAAACAGG
rnacentral:rRNA from 1 species